rnacentral:rRNA from 1 species
AGCUCCAAUAGCGUAUAUUAAAGUUGUUGCAGUUAAAAAGCUCGUAGUUGGAUUUUGGGGUUCGUUGAAUGGUCCGCCUAAUGGGUGAGUACUAUUCUGCGGCUCUUUGUUUCCGGGGACCGCGUCGUUAUUUAUUUAGCGGCGUUGGGACGCGGAUCUUUUACUUUGAAAAAAUUAGAGUGUUCAAAGCAGGCCUACGCAUUGAAUAUAUUAGCAUGGAAUAAUGAAAUAGGACUUUGGUUCUAUUUUGUUGGUUUCUAGGACCGAAGUAAUGAUUAAUAGGGAUAGUUGGGGGCGUUUAUAUUCCGUUGUCAGAGGUGAAAUUCUUGGAUUUACGGAAGAUAAACUAGUGCGAAAGCAUUCGCCAAGGAUGUUUUCAUUAAUCAAGAACGAAAGUACG